UACGUAGGGGGCAAGCGUUAUCCGGAAUCACUGGGCGUAAAGGGUGCGUAGGCGGCCAAUAAAGUCAGAGGUGAAAGCCCACGGCUCAACCGUGGUAAGCCUUUGAAACUUAAUGGCUUGAGUGCAGGAGAGGAGAGUGGAAUUCCUAGUGUAGCGGUGAAAUGCGUAGAUAUUAGGAGGAACACCAGUGGCGAAGGCGACUCUCUGGACUGUAACUGACGCUGAGGCACGAAAGCGUGGGUAGCAAACAGGAUUAGAUACCCUGGUAGUCCACGCCGUAAACGAUGAGUGCUAGGUGUUGGGGGUCAAACCUCAGUGCCGCAGUUAACGCAUUAAGCACUCCGCCUGGGGAGUACGUUCGCAAGAAUGAA
rnacentral:rRNA from 1 species